GGGGAAGGAAAGAACACUAUGGGACAGGGGAGGGAGGGGGAAGGAAAGAACACUAUGGGACAGGGUAGGGGUAGGAAAGAACACUAUGGGACAGGAGAGAGGGAGGAAAAAACACUAUGGGACAGGGGAGGGGAGAACAUUAUGGUUUGGGGGGGGAGGGGGAGAACAGUAUGGGAGAACCAAGGUACAAGGAAGGGAAAAGGAAC